rnacentral:rRNA from 1 species
GACAGCCCCGUACACAAAAAUGCACAUGCUGUGAGCUCGAUGAGUAGGGCGGGACACGUGGUAUCCUGUCUGAAUAUGGGGGGACCAUCCUCCAAGGCUAAAUACUCCUGACUGACCGAUAGUGAACCAGUACCGUGAGGGAAAGGCGAAAAGAACCCCGGCGAGGGGAGUGAAAAAGAACCUGAAACCGUGUACGUACAAGCAGUGGGAGCACGCUUAGGCGUGUGACUGCGUACCUUUUGUAUAAUGGGUCAGCGACUUAUAUUCUGUAGCAAGGUUAACCGAAUAGGGGAGCCGAAGGGAAACCGAGUCUUAACUGGGCGUUAAGUUGCAGGGUAUAGACCCGAAACCCGGUGAUCUAGCCA